UAAUAUUUUUUAUUUGCUUUUUUUUUUUUUGGUUUUUCCCGCGGGUUCCUUCGUCUUUCUUUCCACUGUCACACGAGCUCCUUUCUCUUCCCACUGCAAGCUUCUCACAUUUUAAGGUUUUUUCUCAUCUGCAGAGCUCAUUGUUUCCGUGGAAUCCAUUUAUUUCGAAGCUUUCUUUUUUUCUUAUUUCCGUGGAAUCAUCUCUUCUCUCCGGAGCCAUUUUCUUCUUCAUUCAAGUCUUGGGGCUAGAAGGUAUAUUUUCUAAUAUUCUUGUGGAGCUGCAGGUGUAUCAAGAACGAGAAGGCAGUGAUAAAAGGUUGAAAGGUAACACCUUUUUUGUUAUGUUUUUAUGGUACUUUUAAUGAAUUAUAAUUUUGUUUUAAACAGAUAUAUUCUACUUUCUUUGUAUCGAGCCACAUCAAAAUUCUCGUGAUUCAGUCAAUGAUGAGUCAUUUCUACAUGGUCAUCAUGAUGAACAGUUAUCUCAUUCGUCAAUUGGUGUUGAAUAUAAAUAGAAAUAAAUCAAAAAGAAAAUAUUUGAUGGUUCAAGUGAGAACUAUUUAAGGAGAUAUAAGAGAACGUGAUUUAAUGUUAAAGAAAUUUAUGACCUUCGGUUGGGAGAUAAAGUUGUGAUACCUUUUGAUGGAAAGCAAAAUUUAAUGGGACAUACAUUAAAUUUAAUGAUUUAAUGAUUGUUCAAUAGAUGAUGAAAACUGGCCAAUCAGUGAGCAAAGGUAAUUUGUAUAAUCAUAAUCAUGAGAGCUGAACUUCUUGAUGUUAUAGCAAGUGUUUCUUAUCAUAUCGCAUGAUUAGCUAUAAAACUUCAAUAUAUUUGUAGAAAUAAUUAAUUAUU